UUUCUUUGUCCUUCUUUAUUAAUCAAUAUUUUUUUCUUUUAAUAACAAAAUAAUUCCUUGUAAGUAAAUAAAUUAAACAAGAAUAAAUAGAAAAAGCGAAUAUGCCAUAGAAAACACACUAAUCCUAGAAUUAGAGGAGGAUCCUAUUAAGUACAAUUGAGGUGAGUGGUGCAUAAUACCUUUCUCUUGCUUAACCGACUCCCGAACAUUAGUCUCUUUCCUUAACCUAUAGAUUUUAUCAUUAUUUCCAGGAACAAAUAAAUGAUGAUGGUGACUCUGUAAUUUCAAGCUACGACAAUAAACACAUGCAAUUUAUGAAACAAAUCUAUGUAGUUAAUCCCAAACUGCGAAACAUAAAUACACAUAAUUAAAGAGACCUUCAUAAUUGAUGAUUAAAGAACCUUUGGUGGACAUGCAAUAACCUUUAUAAUCUCACUGGUUCUUUGAAGUUUGAGACUUUUAGGCUUGAUGAAUCAAAUAAAAAAUAGAACCACCAAUUGCGACAAUAAUAUAUAGCUCGAGCAUAAAUUCAGGUACAAUGUUCUAGCAUGGUUGCAGGGUCCUGGUAUGACAUCAAAUUACAAACCUCACCAAUCUAAGUACAAGUAUAAAUUAAGCAUAUUAAUUAGAAAAUAACUACAGUAUAAGACUUAAACAAAUGAAAUGAACCCGAUUCAAUAGAAUAUCUAGCUUUUUUACUGGUUCUGCCGUCCUAGAGAGACAUUUUGAAGUUAAAAUCCGUAAAUAUUGAUGAAAAAGUUCUUAAAUCCUCUCUUACAUAAAUGUAUAAAAAAUGAAUUGCAAAAGAAAUACUUUUGUAAGAAAUGAGCUAUUACAUUACAUAGUAAAUUGAAAGGAAUAAAUGUGAAUGUGUGUUGUCAGCAUUUGAAUAUCAAAACAUGUGUCUAAAAUGCAAAUCAAGAGCUAGACAACUCUAUACACAUGUAAUUAUUUGUAUCAGAUGGUUGUGUUAUACCUUUAUAAAUUUUAUUUUCUAAAGAAAUCAAUCACAAGUGGCUGAAAUCAAGUAACUCAAAUACCCAAGAAUACUGAUAUAUUGAUAAUUUUACCUAUCAUUAAUCAAAUCGUAAACAAAAACAAACACUUUGAACACAAAAAUAGAUAAUAUCUAGUUGAACAACUCUUCAAUCAUAAACAAACAAAAAAUAUUUAAGAAAACAUAUAAUAAAGAUAAACAAAUUGGAACAUAAGAGAAGAUCAUGAAGGAAGAAACAUUAUCUGAAGUUGGUUGAAAAAUUGAAUACUUAACUCCUCUGUAAACUUGUACGAAAAUCAAAUGAAGUGAAUAAUGAGUCCAAAAAACCAUUAAGCAUGCAUACAUCAAUUAAAACGUUAGAAGUAUUAUAAAAUCGUCUUUUGCUGAAGAAAGACGAGUUUGAAGAUAUCAUUUUUGAAAAAAAAUAAGACACAAAACACACGAAGAAGACGAAGAAAGACAGGAAGAAGAAAUUAUUUUCAUUUUUUUUUUCAAACAACAAUAUUGACAAAAUGCAGAAAGACGAGGAAGAAGAUAUGAUUUUUUUUAAAAAAAUUCAAACAACAUUAUCAGAAAAAAUAUGGAGACUUUCUCUCUUUUGGAUUUUCAAUAUUCUAAGAUAAAUAUUUCACGGUAAACAUAACAAACCAAGUCCAAGACUUUCUCUCUUCAACUCUCACAAAACCCAAUAAUCACAAGAAAAAACAUAGAGACAAAGAAGAAGAUGAAAAAAAUAAAAACUAUCCUUCUUUGUUCAAUUGAGAGAUUACUAUUACCUCAUCUUCAAUAUAGCCCGAAGAUUCUAGUUCGACUACAAAUUAGCUUUUACAGUUUGCUUGAGAAUAUUGAGUUUCAGCAGCAACAUAUAUUGAAGUAACCAAAGCAUUUGCUUACCCGCUCGAAUCCCGAUUCCAUACUUCCUGAAAGAACAACAAUAAAAAGUCAGAUACGAAAUGACAAGACAAAGGCAUCUGUAGCUUUGAGAAGAUACGAAAUCACAUAUGUAGGAUCGAGUUCGAUAACUUUAUCGGCUUCGAUUAGGACUUCGUUAGCGAGGUGUUACCGAGUAAGGAUCUAAGUUUGUUGUUGAAAGAACUUUGACAGUAUCAUUAGAGUUUAUAAAGAAGAGGAAGAAAGAAGAAGAAGAGAG
rnacentral:lncRNA from 1 species